AUUGAACGCUGGCGGCAGGCCUAACACAUGCAAGUCGAGCGAGUGGCGGACGGGUGAGUAAUGUCUGGGGAACUGCCUGAUGGAGGGGGAUAACUACUGGAAACGGUGGCUAAUACCGCAUACUAUCGGAUGAACCCAUAUGGGAUUAGCUAGUAGGUGGGGUAACGGCUCACCAAGGCGACGAUCCCUAGCUGGUCUGAGAGGAUGACCAGCCACACUGGGACUGAGACACGGUCCAGACUCCUACGGGAGGCAGCAGUGGGGAAUAUUGCACAAUGGGCGCAAGCCUGAUGCAGCCAUGCCGCGUGUAUGAAGAAGGCCUUAGGGUUGUAAAGUACUUUCAGCGGGGAGGCGUUACCCGCAGAAGAAGCACCGGCUAACUCCGUGCCAGCAGCCGCGGUAAUUC
rnacentral:rRNA from 1 species